GUCCCUGUAGCGUAUUGGGUAGCGCGUUGGAAAUCUACUCCAAAGGUCAUGGGUUCGAAUCCCACAUGGGAUG